rnacentral:rRNA from 1 species
GAUGAACGCUGGCGGCGUGCCUAAUACAUGCAAGUCGAGCGAACAGAUGAGGAGCUUGCUCCUCUGACGUUAGCGACGGGCGGGUGAGUAACACGUGGAUAACCUACCUAUAAGACUGGGAUAACUUCGGGAAACCGGAGCUAAUACCGGAUAAUAUAUUGAACCGCAUGGUUCAAUAGUGAAAGACGGUUUUGCUGUCACUUAUAGAUGGAUCCGCGCCGCAUUAGCUAGUUGGUAAGGUAACGGCUUACCAAGGCAACGAUGCGUAGCCGACCUGAGAGGGUGAUCGGCCACACUGGAACUGAGACACGGUCCAGACUCCUACGGGAGGCAGCAGUAGGGAAUCUUCCGCAAUGGGCGAAAGCCUGACGGAGCAACGCCGCGUGAGUGAUGAAGGUCUUCGGAUCGUAAAACUCUGUUAUUAGGGAAGAACAAAUGUGUAAGUAACUAUGCACGUCUUGACGGUACCUAAUCAGAAAGCCACGGCUAACUACGUG